rnacentral:tRNA from 1 species
GGGGAUUUAGCUCGGUGGUAGAGCGCUUGCCUAGGAAGCACAAGGUCCUGGGUUCGGUCCCAGCUCCA